CAUAGAGAAAUAGAGAGAAUUCUCAAAAAGAAGAAGAAGAGAGAAAUAAAGAGAGAGGAGUUUAGAGAGAAAAUAGAGAUUUCUCCUAAAACUCAAUUGUCUUUCUUUUGUUAGAGUAUAUUUCCUCCUGUUAUAAGAGAGGAUCGGAGAGGAAAAGGCCCUGCUGAGUUGAUGAACAGGGUGGUGGCAGCGCAUGCUGAUGGUAUGGUUCUAACUGUCAAGCUAGGCAACCAAUUAAGUCAUUUCAACAAGACGAAGAAGACUGAAUGGUUCAGCUGCUGAAGCCCGUCUUAAGCACUAGUAAAGUAUUUGCAAAGCACUCAACAAGCCUGAGAUUAAAGUUAACAAUAACAUGCAUUUAGCUUCUCCAUCGGUAUUGCAUGUGUUUGCUCUGGAACAAAGAACUGUGUGUUAGAUUAGAUACUCAUAUGAUAUGAGAGGCCAGCUUUGGCACUUGCUCAAUAGUAAUUCAUAAUCGUACCCUUGAUUUCAUAA